GACGGAGGAUGCGAGCGUUAAUCGGAAUUACUGGGCGUAAAGCGCACGCAGGCGGUUUGUUAAGCUAGAUGUGAAAGCCCCGGGCUCAACCUGGGAUGGUCAUUUAGAACUGGCAGACUAGAGUCUUGGAGAGGGGAGUGGAAUUCCAGGUGUAGCGGUGAAAUGCGUAGAUAUCCGGAGGAACAUCAGUGGCGAAGGCGACUCCCUGUCCAAAGACUGACGCUCAUGUGCGAAAGUGUGGGUAGCGAACAGG
rnacentral:rRNA from 1 species